rnacentral:rRNA from 1 species
UACGGAGGGUCCAAGCGUUAUCCGGAAUCAUUGGGUUUAAAGGGUCCGUAGGCGGUUUUGUAAGUCAGUGGUGAAAGCCCAUCGCUCAACGGUGGAACGGCCAUUGAUACUGCAAGACUUGAAUUAUUGGGAAGCAACUAGAAUAUGUAGUGUAGCGGUGAAAUGCUUAGAGAUUACAUGGAAUACCAAUUGCGAAGGCAGGUUGCUACCAAUACAUUGACGCUGAUGGACGAAAGCGUGGGGAGCGAACAGGA